AGGCAAGAUCAAGCAGUUUUGGCCUUGCUCAUUUCUCCAUAUAAUUUUAUCAUUGCCAGAUUUCUCCAUCAGCACAAUCCUCAGUUAGCUGUCACAGACUCAAGGAGGCUCUUAGUAACAAUUUAAAGCUGUUUCUGGCAAAAUUUAUGAGCUUAUGGCAAGAUGAUGGAGGAUGGCUGGGUACCUACUUCUCUUAUUUCAAAAGAAUCUGUUACAGCUGUGCAAGGCAGCCAGGCUAGCUUUAGCAAAAGCAUUUAUGCUACCACAAACAUGGAGGCAGUGGGCAGCCACAAGAACAGAGCUCGGGGACAAAAGCUUUGCCCCAGGUGGUACCAUUCGGGUGCACCUCUCUUGUAAGGUGCUGUAAAACGAUGCUCAGCAUAAAGCAGGAGACCUGGACAUUUCCUGUUAUGUGAGGGAUUAAGCAGUUAAAAAAAAAUCCUUCGCAGCUUUUGAGGAUUUGUCAGGAAACUCCAGGGGGAUGUGUGCCCAACAGCAAGGACACCUGGGAAGGUGAGAUGUGCUCUGCUGCAGCCAGGGAGAAACACAAAAGCAGGGGAAAAAAGUUACAGGCUCAAGAGUGCUUUUUCCUGGCAGCCAGCUGGUUUUGCUGCAGCUCUAAAUUCCAACAGACCAGCCCGGUGUCAUCUUAGGAGAAGGACAACAGUGAGGACACAAACGGCUCAGAAGCUGCCAUCCCUCUGCCUUAAAAGCAGGAAGCUCCACAAACGUCCACAUUCCACAAUGAACACAAAAGGUAUCUAGCACCGAGCAUACCAGCAGCCAACCUUCCUGGCCGAAUAUUCGCCUGUGAGAGCCACAAGAUAUCCCCAAGAGCUGAGCUACAAGCAAGCAUUUCCCCAGCGGCCGGUGUUCCCCAAAUCUUCCAAAUUGUUCUCAUGAGAAGCCUCGCGCUGCAAAUUCCCUCCCACAUAUUGCCUAUCAGGUUUGGAACAAGUAUUAUUGGCGCAUAGCUCCAGCUGCACUCUGCAAAGUACUGAUACAUUUCCCAUUGGAACAGUCACAACUGACUUCUAGGUCCUGAAGUAUUUGCAGAAAAUCGGGUCGUGUUGUGGGGCUUUUUCUGUGACACGAACAUAUCCUGCCUAUACUGGGGUGUUCUCCUCUUAAGGAGGAGAUACGGAGUGGUCCCUACCAACAGAAGGGAGAGAAAGGUUCAGAUGAUGCCAUUACGAAGCACCCCAUGGCAGCAAAUGCGCAGGAGGCUUUGAGUCAGCAGCAGUUAGACCUGUUAUGGGCAGAACCGCAAGGUGGAAAGAGCUCUGAUCUGCAAGGCUGCGGAUCAGCCUUCUCGUUCUAUCACUGAUACACUUCCUAAACAAGUCAUUUCAGGAGUCAACACACGUGAGAGGAGGACAAAGUUCCAUAUUAAAAACAUAUUUGUUAAAACAGACUAAAUAAAAUUUGUCCAGAGUCUGUAAGACAGAAAUUCAUGAGUGCAGCAAAGAAAGGAAGCACCCAACUGUGUUUCACUGUCAGAUAUAGGGUCAAAUUAAUUUUAUUCUGGGAAAAGAAAGCCUGAUUUUGAAAGCUGUUUAGUGUCAAACCAUAAGCACUUACUCCUAAACCAAAUUCGGAGAGAAACAUUAUUUAUUUAUUUCAAGAUACCCAAAGGUUACUUGUAAGCAAUUCUCCAACACAAGUGAAAAGAUGAGUAUGAUCACUGGCCUUAACGUGGAAGCUGAGUCAUGUCUCUGUAUAAACUCCAGUCACUCACGUGGCAUCAGCUAUAGCUCGGAGGUAGUUAUGCGGGGGUAACAAAAGGGCCAUUCAUAUCCGCUCUGCAAAAUUACAUUUGCAUUGAUUACUUUGCUCCUUAUGGCAGACUACCUCUACCAGUUCCUGUUCCUUCCUCGUCCUUUAAGCAAGUCUUCUAAUUAGAAGUCAGCAAUUUUAGAAAUUGUCAUUUAU